GUGAGGAAUCUUCCACAAUGGGCGAAAGCCUGAUGGAGCAACGCCGCGUGCAGGAUGAAGGCCUUCGGGUUGUAAACUGCUUUUAUAAGUGAGGAAUAUGACAGUAACUUAUGAAUAAGGAUCGGCUAACUACGUGCCAGCAGCCGCGGUCAUACGUAGGAUCCGAGCGUUAUCCGGAGUGACUGGGCGUAAAGAGUUGCGUAGGUGGUUUAAUAAGCGAAUAGUGAAAUCUGGUGGCUCAACCAUUCAGACUAUUAUUCGAACUGUUGAACUCGAGAGCAGAAGAGGUAGCUGGAAUUUCUAGUGUAGGAGUGAAAUCCGUAGAUAUUAGAAGGAACACCGAUGGCGUAGGCAGGCUACUGGGCUGUUUCUGACACUGAGGCACGAAAGCGUGGGGAGCGAACCGGAUUAGAAACCCUAGUAGUCC
rnacentral:rRNA from 1 species